AGUAUAGUAUGAGGUGGCUGCUGUGCUCUUCUAAAAAAUGGUUGUCCAUUGUUACUCUUGGUAUAAACAAAUAACCAUUUGGAAUUUUUAGAAUUAAAAUCAAUAUUCUCGUAAAUAAUUAUUGUUGUUCUCAUUUUGUUAGGUUAUGUGCAUUACAGAUUAAGAAGUUAAUAUCAAAUUUGUGGAUUAUUUUUAUUUAAAGCUAGUUUAUAUUUAAAAUUGUUCAUUUUUACAAUACGUCCUGGGUAAUCAAAAGCUGAUUAAAGUUCCGAUGCCUAGUGUCAAAGAUGAAUCAGAGCCAGAAGGAGAAGAAAUGUCUCACGAUAGCAACGAUAGCAACCAAAGUUCUGCGUCGUGUGAUAGUAGUGCAGAACACAGUGACAGCGAUGAUUCCUCAGAGAUGGAUGAAGAUGAGUGCGAAAGAAGACGUAAUGAGUGUAUGGAGAAUUUAGUUGAUUUAGAAAGACAAUUUUCAUUACUCAAAGAACAAUUGUAUCGUGAAAGAAUAACACAAGUCGAUACCAAACUUGGGGAAGUACGAGUUGGUAAAUCGGAAGAAUAUUUAAUACCCCUAGAACGUUUAAAAGAAAAUAUGAAAACCAAAAUAGAAGUAGCUGGAAUAUUGAAACAAUACAGAUUGCAAAAUAUACAAAAUAAAUUUUCAGCAGAGGAACAGGCCGCUUUCCAAAAUUUUGAAAGUGAAAAAGAAUUGAUUUGGGAUUAUAUACAUAAUGAUCUUCAGGAGAAGAUACGUAGAUUAGAAGAGGAUAGAAAUAAUGUAGAUAUUCAUGCAGAUUUAUGGUUAAAUUCAAGUGGUAGAAGACGUAGGAACCAUACGGAGAGAAGGAAAGCAGUUUCCGUAGCAGGACCAUAUAUCGUUUAUAUGCUUAAUGAUUCUGAUAUUUUAGAAGAUUGGGCCUUAAUUAAAAAGAGUUUGAGUAGUAGAAAAACAGAGAUAAUUUAAAAUAUAAAUAUGUAAAUCAACUUGUUGCUAUGUGGAUGUACAUUAAUGAACGUGUAGUGUAACGCUGCAAAAUUAACAAAUUAUUUUCUCUUUUAAAAUUGACUGUGGCAACAGUUAUUUCUGAUGCAAUCAUCUUUUUAAGUUCCCUCAUCUAUGAUACUGUGCCUUUAAGUGCAAUGAACUAAACAAAAAUUAAAGCCUCCUUUGCAUCUUGAAGAACUGUUAAACGCAAUGGGUGGUUAAAGUGUUUACUAGAUGACGCUAAAUUUCAUUGAAAACAAAGUGGCUUCAAGACCAAAACCAACCGUUAUACAAAAGGUCAACAACGUGGUUAAGGUUCAAAUUUAA
rnacentral:misc_RNA from 1 species